GCUUGGGGUGGAAAAGACAGAAAAAAAGCUCCGUGUAGUCAGUCACACAGUAGGAGUGGGCUCGGAGCCAACCCAGAAAGAAUGAUAGAGUGAAGGAGAGGACUUUCACAGUGCAAAUUAUUGCCACCAGGUGGUGGUGGUUCUCUUCCUUUGAUGUCGGCGGUGAGCUUUAUCGGGUGCUUGAGAUUAGGAUUUAUGAGCAUGGUUGGUGCUGCUGCUCAAGUAUCGGAAUGACAAUGCCGCCGGCUGAGUAGCAGGUGAUAACUUCCGGCGUGUCUCUGCGAGCCACUUCUGAUGGGGGGAGAAUUGCAGAGAAGAGAAAGCAUUGCCUUUGGUACAAAGGAGUGCUGGCAGCUGGAACAAAGCAAUAAUCUUGGGGACAAUGAUAAAGAGUUGAAAUCAAUGACGAUCACAAUAUUCGGCAAAGAAUCAUUCAAAAAGCACAAACUAAGCCCAAAACUAACAUCACACGUGUCAUCGUUCACAUGUGAACCAAACGGCGAAAGGGUGAAAAACAAUUGCAAAAUUGAUGUCCCACAUGCCCCCAGAAAACAGU